rnacentral:lncRNA from 1 species
AUCUCAGACAAAUUAGAUAAAAAAUGAAUUUAUAACAGAUAUGUGUCCUAAGGCAUUCAGCUGAAAGUUUGGGUUUUAGGGAAGGAAGACUAGUGAAUAUCAAAACAUAUGAAUGGCAUGUCUCCCCUCUACCUCCACCUUAUUGCUGAGUCCCCAUUAAAAUGGAAAGAUAAGAUUGCAAAUUGCCCCUCCAUGCCACAUAGAGUCCCAUUGGUGGAUUUUACCAAGCUUCUGGAAAAAAGGAAUAAAAUACAGGAACAUAUAUCACUUAUCUAUGAAAAGGUAGACUACAUGGUUUCGGACCCUUUCAGGUUCACCAUAGUCAGCUAUAACUUUUCCAGCUACUCUUAACCUCCUUUGUCUUCCAAAACUUUCUUGGGCAAAAAAUAUACAGUGUGCUUAUGAUUGUUUUAAAUUUGUGUGGGUACUACUCACUGGCUUCUUUUGCAAGGGGAACGUUAAGAGUGAAUCUCUCCUCACUCUCCCACUACCCUCACUGCUCAUAUUUUCCCAGCCCAGGCUUCAUGUCUUGCAGUUCGUGUUGGAUGAAUUGGAUUCAGCAUAGAAGGUUUAAUAUAACCACAUGGAUCUUGGAGCCUAAAUAGGGUCUAGGCAGAUGGACAACUGAACAAGCAACAUAAAGAAUGUACUCCACCCUUGAACUGGGAGGGACCAAUUUGGGGGAACAGCAUGGAAGCUUUGUUGCUUCUCUCAUCCCUGAAAUACAGCCAGAUAACACUAAACCAUCCUGCACACCUAGAAAACUGAUUGUUGUAUUAAUCCUCAAAUCUUCACAACCUGAACCAGAGAACUCAGCAAGUACAUGGCGUGGAGAGGGGAGUAAGCCACUGAGGGCAGGGAGCUGUUUUUGCUUGCAGAGAGAGGAUGGGGAUGGCGGGAGAGUAUGGAAAAUAUCCCUCCUGCCCAAAAGCAGCUGGAGAGAAAAGAAAGAGUAUACAAGGGACUGAAAAAAAAAAAAGUGAGAAAGGAGAGUGUUUAAAUUCCAUUAAGACUCUAUAGGCAGGGGGCGUGCAGAGUCAAACUCCACAGCUCCAUACCUGGUGGUGCUCUGGUGGGAAGGGUGAAUCCCCAGGAGUGGAGAGCAAGGUCCUUGGGCCACACAGGGAGAGGCGGUUCCCCUGCUGGGAGGAUAUUUGGUAGAGGCUGUGCGGCCUCCCCACAGGCAAAGGACAAAGUGGACCUGGGAUAACAAACACAUUCGUUGGUGAUCAAAUAAGGACAUUAAGUGUAAAGCCUGGCUCCAGACGUGUGUUGUGAUUUUUCCAUAAUUUGUGAAAUGAUGCUGCUACACGAUCAUGCAAACUUUUUCUGGGGUGGGCUGGCACCCAGCCACAGUCUCUAGGCAUUGGCACCAGCAUGGUCCCACAAACGUUCCUGGAUGUGGGCAGAGCAGCUGGCCAUUGCUCAGUGAGACUCUCCCCCAGAAGGUCUGAGCAGGUCAAAUGUGCAGUCCCUCAAAAUUGAGGGGUUGGGAAACACAGCUGCAUCUGAGAUAAAACUCAGGAGGGAGGUGCUGCAUGGCAACCUGACGGCUUGGUCACGGACAGUGUAAAAGCAUGGAGUGGAUGGAAGCUAGAUACCAAGGAGGGAUGCACAAUUGCUGGUUGAGGAGAGCACAGAAUUCUGAUCCUAAACACUAGGUAGCUGGGUGACGCCAUUCUCACCCCUCCCGCGCAUGCAUAUACACACCUAUAGGCACCACAACAAUCCACCAAGUAAGCUAGUCAGUGCCAUCUAGUGGAAAACAGAGCCAUUACACUAAGUCUCACCUAACUGGGUCAACCUCACUCUUCAGGAACACAAGUCUCUCUGCCUGAUUAGUUUAUGGACUAUAAAGUGCUUCAUAGUUCAACUUCUAGGGGAAACCGAUGUAUUUCAAUUGUACGUCAAUUUGUUUGCUGGUCCAUCUAUUCAAUUUCCCUUUUCUUAUUCUUGAAUACAGAAAGAGAAGUAAAAUAUUUUCAUUUUCCAUUUCUAUUAAAAAUGUUUUUAAUUUUUUCUACUAUAUAUUUUACCUUUAUGUAAAUUUUUCAAAUUCUAAUUUUUUACUUCCAUGUUUCAUUUUAUUCUAUUUCAUUGUAUUCAUUUUUUUCAAAUUUUCAAACAUUUCCUUUUUUUUCCUUUUGUUACCAUUCCCUUUUUUCUCUCAUCUAUCAAGCUCAACAACCAGACCAGAAAACCCCUAGCAUCCUUUAUGUGACUGUUUUUAUAUUAAUUCGCCCAAAAGAAAGAAGAGGAAAACAAUGACAGCCAGAGACUUAACACAGAUACGAGCAAGAUGUCUGAACCAGAAUUUAGAAUCACGAUAAUAAAAACACUAGCUGGGGUUGAAAACAGAUUAGAAUCCCUUUCUGCAGAGAUAAAAGCUAAUCAGGAUGAAAAAAUUCUGUUACUGAGCUGUCAUCUCAAAUGGAUGCCACAGCAGCAAGGAUGGAUAAGACAGAGCAGUGAAUCAGCGAUACAGAGGACAAAUUUAUGGAGAACAAUGAAACAGAAAAAAAGAGGGAGACUAAGGAAAAAAGCAUGAUUUAAGAAUUAGAGAAAUCAGUGACUCAUCAAAAAGGAACAACAUCAGAAUCAUAGGGGUCCCAGAAGGUAAAGAGGGAGAAAAGGGGGUAGAAGGGUUAUGUGAGCAAAUCUUAGCAGAAAACUUUCUUAACCUGUGGAAAGACACAGACAUCAAAAUCCAGGAAGCACAGAGGACUGCCAUUAGAUUCAACAAAAACCGACAAUCAACAAGGCAUAUCAUAGUCAAAUUCACAAAAUACUCAGGCAAGGAGAAAAUCAUGAGAGCAGCAAGGGAAAUAAGUCCUUAACCUACAAAGGAAGACAGAUCAGUUUUGCAGCAGACCUAUCUACAGAAACUUGGCAGGCCAAAAAGGGGUGGCAGGAUAUACUCAAUGAGCUGAAUCUGAAAAAUAUGCAGCGAAGAAUUCUUUAUCCAGCAAGGCUAUCAUUCAAAAUAGAAGGAGAGAUAAAAAGUUUCCCAGACAAAAAUUAAAGUCGUUAAUGACCACUGAACCAGCCCUGCAAGAAAUUUUAAGGGGGACUCUGUUAGGGGAGAAAAGACAGGGAAAAAAAUACACCAGAAGCAACAAAGACUAGAAAGGACCAGAGAACACCACCAGAAACUCCAACUCUAUAGGCAACAUAAUGGCAAUACAUUCAUAUCUUUCAGUACUCCAAACGUCAAUGGACUCAGUGCUCCAGUCUAAAGACAUAGGGUAACAGAAUGCAUAAGAAAACAAGAUCCAUCUAUAUGCUGUUUACAAAAACCCACUUUAGACCUAAAGACACCUUCAGAUUGAAAGUAAGGGAUGGAGAACCAUCUAUUAUGCUAUUGGUCAACAAAAGAAAGCAGAGUAGCCCUACCUAUAUCAGACAUUCUAGACUUUAAAAUACUGUAUGAUGAGAUGGAGAAGGGCAUUAUAUAUAUAUAUAUAUAUUUUUUUUUUUUUAUUUUUCAAAUAUAUAUUUAUAUAUAUUUGAAAUAUAUAUAAUAUAUAUUUUUUAUUUUUCAAAUAUAUAUUUAUAUAUAUAUAAAUAAAUAAAUAAAAUAAGGGGUCUAUCCACCAUGAAGACCUAACAAUUAUAAACAUUUAUGCUCCAAAUGUGAGAGCACACAAAUAUAUAAAUCAAUUAUUCACAAACAUAAAGAAACUCAUUGAUAAUAGUGCCAUAAUAGUAGAUGACUUCAAUACCCCACUUACAACAAUGCACAGAUCAUCUAAACAGAAAAUCAACAAGGAAACAAAGGCUUUGAAAGACACACUGGACCAGAUGCACUUAACAGAGAUAUUGAAAACAUUUCAUCCUAGAGCAGCAGAAUACACAUUCUUCUCCAGUGUACCUGGAACCUUCUCCAGAAUAGAUCACAUACUGGGACACAAAUGAGCCCUCAACCAGUACAAAAAGAUCGAGAUCAUAUGGUGAAUAUUUUUAGACCAUAAUACCAUGAAACUCAAAAUCAAUUGCAAGAAAAAAAUGUGGAAAGAUGAUAAAUACUUAGAGACUAAAGACCAUCCUACUAAAGAAUUAAUGGACUAACCAAGAAGUUAAAGAGGAAAUUAAAAAGUACAUGGAAGCCAAUGAAAAUGAUAACACAACAGCCCAAAACCUCUGGGACACAGCAAAGGCGGUCAUAAAAGGGAAGUAUAUAGCAAUCCAGGCCUUCCUAAAGAAGGAAGAAAGGUCUCAGAUACACAACCUAACCUUAAACCUUAAAGAGCUGGAAAAAGAACAGCAAAUAAAAUUCAAAAUCAGCAGAACCAGGAAAUAAUAAAGAUUAGAGCAGAAAUCAAUGCCAUAAAAACCAAAACAAACAAACAAACAGGAAAACAUAUCAAUAAAACCAGAAGCUGGCUCUUUGAAAGAAUUAACAAAAUAAACCCGUAGCCAGUUUGAUCAAAAAGAAAAAGGAAAGGACCCAAAUAAAUAAAAUCAAGAAUGAAAGAGGAGAGAUCACAACCAACACAGCAGAAAUAAACACAAUAAUAAGAGGAUAUUAUGAGCAAAUAUGCACCAAUGAAAUGGGAAAUCUGGAAGAAAUGGACAAAUUCCUAGAAACAUAUAAAGUACCAAACUGAAACAGAAAGAAAUAGAAAAUUUGAACAGACCCUUAACCAGUAAAGAAAUCAAAUUAGUAAUCAAAAAUCUCCCCAAAAACAGGAGUUCAGGGCCAGAUGGCUUUCCAGGGGAUUUCUACCAAACAGCCAAGGAAGAGUUAACGCCUAUUCUCUUGAAGCUGUUCCAAAUAAUAGAAAUGGAAGGAAAACUUCCAAACUCUUUCUGUGAAGCCAGAAUUACCUUGAUUCCAAAACCAGACAUAGACCCCACUAAAAAGGAGAACUAUAGACCAAUUUCCCUGAUGAACAUGGAUGCAAAAAUCCUCAACAAGGUAUUAGCCAACCAAAUCGAACAAUACAUUAAAAGAAUUAUUCACCCCAACCAAGUGGUAUUUAUACCUGGCAUGCAGGGCUGGUUCAAUAUUCACAAAACAAUCAAUGUGAUCAGAUCAGUAACAGCACAAGAACCACAUGAUCCUCUCGAUAGAUGUAGAGGAAACAUUUGACAAAACACAAAGUCCUUUCUUGAUAAAAACCUUGAUAGAAGGAUCUUACCUCAAGAUCAUACAAGGAAUAUAUGAAAGACCCAACACUAAUAUCAUCCUCAAUGGGGAAAACCUGAGAGCUUUUCCUCUGUGGUCAGGAACAAGACAGGGAUGUCCACUCUCACCACUGUUAUUCAACAUAGUAUUGGAAGUCUUAGCCACAGCAGUCAGACAACAUAAAGAAAAUAAGAUGCAUCCAAAUCGGCCAUGAGGAGGCUAAACUUUCACUCUUUGCAGAUGACAUGGUACUGUAUAUGGAAAACCCAAAAGAGUCCACCAAAAAACUGCUAGAACUAAUCCAUGAAUUCAGCAGUUGCAGGAUAUAAAAUCAAUGCACAGAAAUUGGUCACAUUCUUAUACACCAAUAAUGAAGCAACAGAAAGAAAAAUCAAGGAAUUGAUCCCAUUACAAUUGCACCAAAAACCAUAAAAUACCUAGGAAUAAAUCUAAACAGAGUGAAAAAUCUAUACAUGGAAAAUUAUGGAAAGCUUAUGAAAGAAACUGAAGAACCCUCCUAAAAAAAAGAAAAAUAUUCCAUGUACCUGGAUAGGAAGAACAAAUAUUGCUAAAAUGUCAAUACUACCCAAAGGAAAUUAAGUAUUCAAUGUAAUCCCUAUCAAAAUAACACAAUCAUUCUUCACAGAGCUAGAAUAAACAAUCCUAAAAUUUUUAUGGAACUAGAAAAGACCCCAAAUAGCCAAAGCAAUCUUGAAAAAGAAAACCAAAGCAGGAGGCAUCACAAUCCCGGACUUCAAAGCUGUAAUCAUCAAGACAGUUAGGUACUGGCACAAAAACAGACACUCAGAUCAAUGGAACAGGAUUGAGAACCCAGAAAUGGGCCCAUAAACAUAGGGCCAACUAAUCUUUGAAAAGCAGGAAAGAAUAUCCAAUGGAAUAAAGACAGUCUCUUCAGCAAGUGAUGCUGGGAAACUAGACAGCGACGUGCAGAAGUAUGAACGUGGACCACUUUCUUACACCACACACAAAAAUAAACUCAAAAUGGAUAAAAGACCUAAAUGUAAGACAGGAAGCCAUCAAAAUCCUCAAGGAGAAAGCAGGCAAAAACCUCUUUGACCUUGGCCACAGCAACUUCUUACUCAACACGUCUCCACAGGCAAGAGAAACAAAAGCAAAAAUGGACUAUUUGGACUGCAUCCAAAUAAACAGCUUCUGCUCAAUGAAACAAUCAGCAAAACUAAAAGGCAACUGACAGAAUGGGAGAAGAUAUUUGCAAACGACAUAUCAGAUAAAGUUUUAGUAUCCAAAAUCUAUAGGGAACUUAUCAAACUCAACACCCAAAAAACAUAUAAUCCAGUGACAAAAUGGGCAAAAGACAUGAACAGACACUUCUCCAAAGAAGACAUACAGAUGGCUAACAGACACAUGAAAAAAUGCUCAACAUCACUCAUCAUCAGGGAAAUAUAAAUCAAAACCACAAUGAGAUACCACCUCACACCUGUCAGAGUGGCCGACGUUAACAACUCAAGCAACAACAGAUGUUGGCGAGGAUGUGGAGGAAGAAGAUCUCUUUUGCAUUGCUGGUGGGAAUGUAAACUGGUACAGCCAUUCUGGAAAACAGUAUGGAGAUUCCUCAAAAAAUUAAAAAUAGAACUACACUAUGACUCAGCAAUUGCACUACUAUUUAUCCAAGGGAUACAGGUAUUCUGUUUCAAAGGGACACAUGCACCCCAAUGUUUAUAUCAGCACUAUCCACAAUAGGCAAAGUAUGGAAAGAGCCCAAAUGUCCAUCUAUGGAUGAAUGGAUAAAGAAAAUGUGGUAUGUAUAUAUAUGUAUAUAUAAUGGAUUAUUACUCUGCAACCAAAAAGAAUUAAAUUUAGCUAUUUGCAACUACGUGGAUGGAACUAGAGGGUAUUAUACUAAGUGAAAUUAGUUAAAGACAAGUAUCAUAUGACUUUAUUCACAUGGGGACUUUAAGAUACAAAACAGAUGAACAUAAGGGAAGGGAAGCAAAAAUAAUAUAAAAACAGGAAGGGGACAAAACAUAAAAGACUCUUAAAUAUGGAGAAAAAAAUAGAGGGUUGCUGGAGGGGUUGUGGGGGGAAGAUGGGCUAAAUGGGUAAGGGGCUUAAGGAAUCUACUCCUGAAAUCAUUGUCACACUAUGUGGUAAUUUGGAUGUAAAUUAUAAAAAAUAAAUAAAUUAUAGAAAGAAAAAAACAUAAAAAAAGAAGACACAUUAACAGUGGGAUAAAAAAAAGAAUGUACUCCAUUUUGGUUUCUCAUUUGUCAAUCAGGGCAGCAGUCCUGCCUACAUGUUUAAGAAGGU